CACGCUUCCCUGAUGAAUACACAAACAUAAGCAUAGUUCAACCGAGACCAAAGGUCGCUGCGGAUGAAACUUGAUUGUCUUUCGCUCCUAUCUGAUUACACGCAUC
rnacentral:snoRNA from 1 species